GGGGAACUACGACCGCGAGGCUGAAACUUGAAGGAAUUGACGGAAGGGCACACCAGGGGUGGAGCCUGUGGCUUAAUUUGAAUCAACACGGGGAAACUUACCAGGACCAGAUGUUUUUUAUGACUGACAGGCUUCGGGUCUUUCAGGAUAUUGCUUUUGGUGGUGCAUGGCCGUUGGUGGUGCGUGGGUUGACCUGUCUAGCGUUGAUUCAGCUAACGAGCGAGAUUAUCGCCAAUUAUAUAGCUCGCAUUGGCUUCAGUGUUGAC
rnacentral:rRNA from 1 species